GGGAAGUUUUCCGUCAAUGGGCGAAAGCCUGACGGAGCAAUGCCGCGUGGAGGUGGAAGGCCUACGGGUCGUCAACUUCUUUUCUCGGAGAAGAAACAAUGACGGUAUCUGAGGAAUAAGCAUCGGCUAACUCUGUGCCAGCAGCG
rnacentral:rRNA from 1 species